rnacentral:lncRNA from 1 species
AUCUCGCUCCCCGCUCUCCAGGGUCUCCUCGCUCUUCAUUCCUCUCGCGGCCUCCUCCCCUUUCCCUCACUCACCCUCUUUCCAAUUGAGGGAUCACAGACUCACUCCGGUUCUGCCAGGGGGACGACCCCCACCCCUCGCAAAACUCGACCACCUCUGACUUCAUGAAAUAUUCUUUCUGUUUGCCCCCCGCAGCAAGCCCCGCGUCCCAUCCCAGGACCCAGCCCCGCCCCUCCGCGCCCCCUUCCUCCUCCUGGCCCGCCGGGCCGAGUGGUGCUGCUGCGGGUGCGGCUGCUCGGAGCCUCCCUGGCCGCCCUCCCCAGGGCCGAUACUGACUCCAUCUGUCAACUUCGUUUAGACUUUGCCGCCCUCAGCCACACGCCGGGGUGCCAGACGCCCAAAGGGUGCUCAUCCAGGCCUUAAAAGUUGGCAGCAUCCCCCAGGAACUACCCUGUGAACAAAUCCAGGCUUUCGGAAGCACGUGAUUCUGCAGAAAUGCCACAUUCUCUUCCACAUGGGCUGUGGGCUCUGAGUCCCCCUUUGCUUCCUCGGCCUAUGUACCUGCUGAAGAAGACAGUUGUGUCGUGUACAUGCAACCUAAGGAGGUAACCUUUUACCCAGCCUGAGACUUCAGAGGGUAUUCAUAUUGGGGACCAGCAGCCCGUGAUGUUUGUCCCCCAGAGAGGGGGAGAGAGCUGCUGCCUGCAGAGUGGCUGCUCCUGCUUUGCACGGCCCCUGGCUUCUGCAUCCCUCCAUCCUCCAGCUGGGCACAGAGGUUGCCAAAAGGGCCAGUAGGAGGAGAAGGCUUCAUGGAGGACGGGGGCAAGAGCGGGCCGACCAUGCUGGCUUCCUCGCCUUGUGUCUGGCUGACUGCACAGGCCUGAGGAGGUAACCAACAGCAGAAACAGCUCUGGACAAAUGAGCAAAGGAAGACUCGACUGAGUUUCCCCAGAAUGGAGAGGAGCUGAGGAAGCUCCAGGGCCCACAGCGGAAGCUGGUGGACCAUUUCACUAGGACCCUGGGAGCAAAUCAGUCUGACUUGUGUUUGGCCCCUGAAUCCCCCUGCUCAAGGCUCAGAGUCCUGGAGAAUUGAGGGCAACCCCCACAUUGCAUGCCAUGGAUGGUGGCUUCCCCAGGGGAGUCGGGGUGCUAGGACUAGAGCAUGCCUCCUACAAAUGUUGACUUCCCCAGAAAAAUACCAGCUCUCUUAAGUAAGGGUGGGUCUAUCUGUGGGGAUGAUAGGGUCACCCUUAUUAUUCAUACGUUCCCUGGGCCUGAGAACUUACCUGGAAUACACUUUGUUAAAUAGUAAUAUUUAUUCUUAUUUGAGUUAUUUUUUUCAGGGCUUUUCUCUAGUUGCUGUAUUUAUCUUCUUUCAGUGUUUCCACAUUUAGCAUUAGUAUUCUCAUGUUAUAUUUGUAUGAACACAUAUACAUUUGUUCCCAUGCCUUGAGGCCCUUGGUGCUAAUUACAUUGAUAUUUUUAUGCUUUAUUUUUCUUUAUUUUUUUAGAGGCAGGAGUUUUUUCUCUGUCACCCAGGCUGGAGUGCAGUGGUACCACCAUAGCUCACUGCAUCUUGAACUCCUAGGCUCAAACGAUCCUCCCACCUCAGCCUCUCAAGUAGCUAGGACUGCAAGCACAAGCCGCCAUGCCUGGCUAAUUUUUUGUUGUUCUUGUUACUUUUUUGUAGAGAAGACAUCUCACUAUGUUGCCCAGGCUGGUCUCGAACUGCUAGUCUCAAAUGAUCUUCCUACCUUGGACUCCCAAAGUGCUGGGAGCACCCAGGCUAUUGCAUUUUUAGGUUAUAUCAACUCUGCUACCCUGAGAAUUGCCUUUAGACUUUGUUCUUAAAUAAACAAAGGACUGAGCUGAUCCUGUCAGCCCAGAGCAGCGGCCUGGGAGCCACCAUGCGACCCAGCCCUAAAUGCCUUGCUUAUGAUGAAAUCUCUUGAAAAUAGCCCAACUUCUGUCUCCUGCCUGUGAAGUAAGCAUUCUCCUCUAAUUCUCAAAGCUGGGAUUUUGUGAGAAACUUAAGUUGUCAGGAGCACACUGGGGGAAACAUAAUUGGAAAUACAUGUUAUGACCCAUUAGAAUGACAAGUUGUAUAUAUCCAUUGUACCCUAAGGCAUCCAAUAUAUUCUGCUGUGUUUGUAAGUACUUUAAUCAUGUUGAAGAAUGACAUACUGAAACUUGUCCCUGAGAUUCACACUUGAUCUCAAGUUGAUUGAGUUUAGGGAAAAGGGAAAAAAAAAACACAUUAGCGUGUUAUUUUUGACAUUAUAUGAGGGUUUUCAUGGGUGUGAACUGUGAGGGAGGUGUGCAAGACAUGUUCCAGCCCAACCCUCGUCCUUAUGAGGCUUGCAGGGAUGACCCGUUUCCCUAAGGUCACCCAGCUGUGUGAGACACAGCUGGAAUUUAGACUAGGGUCUCUUUAGUGUCUUCAUUCUGAGUUCUUUUUUUGAAUGGGCAACUUCUGUGAUUUUGAGCAUGACCAGACAUUUAACUACAGUGGGUAGAGCCAGCCAAAGGUUGCAAAACUUUUCUACUUCUUUCUUAAUGGCUAGAAAUUGGUGAUCAGAAAUAACAAAUACAUGUCAAAGAUGUUGAAUUGUAUAGCAUUUUGGGUUUCAAACAGAUAUGAUACAAAGGUUCAAUUAUGGCAAGGCUUCAAAGUUAAACUGUUCCUGAAAACAGUGACAAAGAGGGUCCAGGAAUGGGAAGGGAAAUGUGGUAUUAUGUUAAUGUUUAUGUUUGGCUGCAGUUCACCAAAAAUGAAGGUUGAUACAAUUCUCUUUUCCAGGCUGUGUGUAAGUUGGCAAAUGACAGGAAGAGCAUGUGCUUCUAAUCACCCACCCAUCUUAAUAACGUCGAACAGAUACAGUGCAGAAACUAUUGCACAACCACCAGCAUUUCAUUACAUCAGAAUCCUUGCCAAUUUGAAAGAGGUCCUUGAAUCCAGGGAGAGUUACAUCUUUACGUUUUUGAUCACGAUCCUCUUGGAAGAUACUUAUUAGGGCCAUUUGUUGAUGACAAUAUUAAGAAUUAGCAAAUAUCUUCUUAAAUAUAACAAAAAUUGAAUUGUUUCAUUAGAGAACUAUAAAGUCUGUUAUUUAAGAGGAAACUGUUGUGCUGUUCAAAAGCAGGAAAGAAUUGUUGAAGGACUCUUCCUGGUCUCCUUUCUAGAACUGAGGCAACUCAGCUAUUGUAGUCAAAAGAAUUUUUAAAAAAUUAGUAAAGAGAAAAGCAGAAUCUUCGUACA